AGAGAGAGAGAGAGAGAGAGUUCUGCCUGUUUAGUAGAUGAGCUGUCAGUUUGAGGAGUGAGCUUAGCUUGGGCUUGUGUUGGAAGUGGGAAUAAGAUUGUGGGUAAAAUGGCGUCUUUGACCCUAGCCUAUGAACUGCGACGCAAGGUAAGGCGACCGUUAAGGUGCGUCUGAAUCUGAUGUCGUCGUCCCAGUUGGAGUGAUCAUUUAAUUACCCACGAUCUCCACGUGGCAAUUUGAUCGCCUAUGGCUUUCCAUCUAGGACAAGUGGAUUAUGCACUUAUUUUCUAUUUUUAUGUUAUUUUCUACUUGACGUGAUAUUAAGUUGU
rnacentral:misc_RNA from 1 species